UCUGGCCUCUGGGUUUCAGUCGAGAGAAAGAAAAAAAAAAUCGAGAGAAAGAAGAAAAAAAAUCGUCAAUACUGCAGUUUAAUCAAACCCCAGCUUCAAUAGAUUUUAGGUUCCAACAAAUCUUAUAAAUUUUCUCAUCAAUACUGCAGUCUAAUCAAACCCCAUCUUCAAAACCCAUAUGUCCCGAUCUACAAAUUGUUUCCUUGAAAUCUGAAAAUCAAAUCAUUCAACCUCUGAUAUAAACUAGUUUGUUGGAUUAUCAUCAGUGUUUAUUCAGAUUUGUUUGGAAAGAUUUACUCACCGAAUUUCUCUCACUUUAGAAACACAAAUUCGAUGCAUUAGAAGCAAGGAUUUCGACGCCUGAAUCUCUUGAAUUUCAGAAAAAGGAAUCAACUCAGGUAAGAUUUUAUGCAAGUUUUUGAUUGAAUUAGGUGAUGUUAGAGACUUGGGAUUUUUUGUUGGGUUGGGAAAGUUUAGGAAGUAAGCGAUUGCUUGACGAAUGACUAGUUUCUAUUCAAAAUGAGUAAUUUGGUUUCCUUGCUUGAAUACAGUGAAUUCAAUUAAACAUGAUUGUAUUGGGUUAGUGGUUUUUUGUGGAAAUCUGUUGCCCAAACUAGGGGAAUAUGGUCGAAGUUGAGGUUACACUUAGUUUGAUUUGUUGUUCUCUGAGCAAGUGAGUUAAGUCCUACUAUAAUGGUUAAUUGAGUUCAGGAUAUUUUUGGGCGAAAAUUCAGUUAUAUUAAUAAGGUAAAGUUAUCCUAGUAAUUUGGAUGAGCAUCUCCUGGAAGCAUCAGUGUGCUUGGGUAUUCAUGUUCAAGUCUUUAAUCCUAUUGAUUAUGUACUCGAGGUUGUAUCUUUAACGGGUAAUUAUGAACUGUUAGGAUGUGGUAUAAAGAUGAUAGUAGAGAGGAAGAGCACAACAAAUACGUAGAAAAUACAUUGUUAGUGGUUUUUGUGUACGCAUACAUAACUAAAAGGACCUAUCGCUCUGUGAGUUGCAUUUGAAAGAUAUGCCUGUGAAUUUUGAGAACAACCUAAGAGGUAAGGAGUUCGUGAAAGUCCUGUCACGUAUUGCCUAUCAGUUUUGGUUUGGACAUAUGCUGAAUACCGUAGACACAAAGUUAUAUCCACAGUAGUCGAGCACAUUGACACUUUAAUUGUGUUCUGUUUUUUUGUUGAUUGCUAACUUAGAUUAAAAUGGAUUUCUGAUUAUAUUCUCGCGUUAUAAUUUGAAUUAACAGAAAAUCUGGUGAUGUGCAUUGGCCAGAAAAUUUACUUGCUAUAUAAUGUAUUUGUUUCCAACCUACAUUAUGAACUUCACUAGGAAAAUUUCCAUUAGAUUGUGGUAUCCAAGAAUAUGUUUUUCUCCUGUGCAAGGUAAAAAUUUGAUUGUUGUAGCUUUGAACAGUUUAUUUUUUCUAUUCUAGUUAUAUUUGUUUAAAAAAAUUUCAGUUCUGGAUUUAAGAUCCGUGGCUUAAUUGAUGUCAAGUAUUCAGGCAGAAACCGAGACUCAUAGCAAGCCUGGAUCUUUGUUUAUGUAUACUCAUUACAAACAAAGUGAUAGAUGGGGUUGCUGGUGCAGAAGAUUACAACCCCAUGCUCUAUUGUCCUGGGAUGAUAAUAAGGUUAUAGUUUUAAGAACUGCAUCUUGACAGGACCAGCUCCUGACCUGAGCAAGAUACCACACCUCGCCUAUAUGUAAGUUUGUCAGAGUUUCUUUAUUAUUUUACUGGCAUGAGGUUACUUAUCCGUAAUUCCGGUGAAUGGAUUUCCUUUCUCUUUUACGUUUUGACUGUUUUUAACAUAUUUCUGAAGUUCGACUAACAUUUCCUUUUUCAUACAGAGAAGAAGUUGAUAGGUAGGUUGGUGGGAGUCUUAUUAGCUAGCUAGGCAGUUUUUUAUUGGUUACAAUUUUCUUGAUCUCAAUUCCAUGAUUAGUGGGACAUGACUGGUUACUAUUCUUUUGUAACCAUUUUUGAUUUUCAUAUUGUUAAUGGCAUGCUAGUACAAUGUUACUUGUUCACUACAGUAUCGCUAGAGCUUUGUAGAGUGAUCAAGUGCUCAAACUUUUGGCUUGCAGAAGUUGACUAGUGAAAACUCUUGCAAACCUUUCUUAAUGCAUGAUAACAUCAAACAUUCUUUAGCUAUCGACUGAUGAAUGUCUGUCCUGUGAAGCAUCUUAACUUGCAACCAUAAUUGUCUGAAUGAUGCAAGCCCUUAAUUAGGGAUAGCUAAUGAACAAAGUCCAUUUUCCAGUGUAGGUUCUGAAGAAUUUCUUCAACUGAACUACCACUAAUUAGGUUGAUUUCUGAUUUUGUUUCUUCCUUCGUCAGGAUAUCUUCCUCCAUCAUAAGUCAGAACUAAGGUUUGGUUUCUUCUUUAGUUUCGUUUCGGUGUUGAUAAUCUUUCCCACUCGUAUGUUUUGGGGUUGUAUGAGUUCUAGGACUCAGUUUCUUAGUUCCAUUAUAUCUUGGUACCAUGCUUUGGUAUUUCCUUUUGAUCGACAUGAGUUUGUUUGUUUGUUUCAGGAACAAGAUAUGGCGCCAGUCUGCGGAAGCAGAUCAAGAAGAUGGAAAUUAGUCAGCAUUCCUAGUACUUCUGUUAAUCUUGCAGAAAUCAGUCAGCACUCCAAAGGGGAGAUUGCUAUUAUAUCCAAAGAUAUGAAAUAGCUAAAAGAGAAAUUUGAUGAGUGCGUUCCGUUCAGCAAGUCGGUUUCAUCAAGCCAAACAAGCUGCAUAUUAGCAAUGAGUACUCAUACAUAAUCCAACUCCCUUGCUCUCUUACUUCGAGAAGUUGAUACUCUUGGAACUUGUAGCUGGAUGAUAAGCAAGCAAAGGACCUGAAAGGUAAAACCUUGUGUCCAUCUUGCUGAUGUGAGAUACUAGUACAUUUUCUGUUUCUGUUUUCAACUAGUACAUUUUCUGUUUCUGUUUUCAACUAGUUUCUGUUUUUCCUUUAUUGAAUUUUGAGAUGAGAACGUUGUGAAAUAACUAAAAGGAGUUGGGAUCUGGUUGAAUAUAAUCCUUGCAUUAGCUGAUCAUCAGCAAAAUGGCAGGAGGAUUAGUGGAAAAACCUUACACCUCGCUAUAUUUUUGUGCUGACAUCUCCAAGAAUAUGUAGAACUGUACACCAAGGCUAGUUCUCCUUAUGGAUAUUUUUCAGGUGUUAUUAAUCGCUCUGGUUCUCCUUAUGGAUAUUUUUCUCCUCCUGGUCGAGGAGGCCUAUACAACUCACCAAAUUAUGGACCAGAUGUUGGAGGGAAGUUAC